rnacentral:misc_RNA from 1 species
CAAAUUCUCCUCCAUAUAGGCUGAUUCUUCUUAUCAGUUGUUUCUACAUUUUGUACUACUUAGUUUUGACUUUUGACGCAGUUCUUAAGUUAUCCCUUUCCAUAUAUAUUAUAAUUCUCUUUGGUUAUCCCAUAUCUAUAUCUAGUUUGACUCCUGUUCAUUAUUCAUUAUUCAUUGAGUGACACUGAGUAAUAUGAACGUGAACGACGGAAUUACUUAAAUUUAGGUAAUUUCAGUGAGUUAGCCAGUGAUUGAGGGAAUAUUCCAUUAAGAAUUUCAAAUAUAAUGUGUCAAUCAAUUCUUGUGUAAAUUGUGUCUGAAAUCAAAUCGUUCCCUUUACUGCAAUAAAAAUUUAAGAGAAAAAUUAAAUUCGUUAAAAGUAAUUAACUUUAGUUAAUUUUAUAGUUUUGAAGUAAUAGUAAUUUUAUUAAAAAAACACCCAAUUAUAUUUUCUCAUUUAUAAAUAUAAUUGCUGAUAUUCUCUAUUAUUAGGACUUUUGAUUCCAUUUGAUUGAAAACUGGUAUAAUAUAACGCAAGUUCGCGCAACAAAGAGAUAGAAGAUGGAAUGGGUGCUACGAAGUCCUCAGAUCCACAGCACAUUUAGUAAUCUUGGAUUUCUACAUGCAGAUGGGUAUCAUGUGAACCAAAAUUGUAAUGCUGCCCUUGAAGCGAUCCUGCACAAUAUUAUAACGGAAGAUAAAUAUUUACGUACAUUUCGUAGAAGUAUAAGUUUUGGCCAGAAUAUCAAGAAGGAUUUAAUACCUCUCUUGAUUCACACUAAAGAUGACAAAACUACAGAACUCUUGAUUAGAAUUUUAGUAAAUUUAACUAUUCCAAUUGAGUGUUUACUUUCAGUUGAUGUAAUUUCACAAAAUGAUUUUGGUCGACAUACUAUUUUUGAAAUUAAUAAUCUACUUACAUCUACCAAAGUUGCAUUUACAGAUCAUAGAGCAACAAGAGUAAUUAUAGAGUUCUUAAAGAAAAAUGUAGAUUUCGAACAAAAAUCAAAGCUGUCAGCAGAACAAUGUACAAAUAUAAGCAAUAGUCUUCUGCUGCUCAGGAAUAUCUUGCAUAUACCUGAAGACAACAGCAACCAGAGUCCUAGUUACAAUGGAACUGCUCACACCGUACAAAACCAGAUCCUAUGGAAUAUAUUCAGCCAAAGUAUAGAUAAAGUUCUUAUCAAGUUGAUGACCAUCCCCGAUGCGACCAAAUGGGCUGUUACAAUGGUUCAGUUAAUAGCUUUGUUAUACAAGGAUCAGCACAUCGUCACGUUGCACAAACUGCUCAAUAUGUGGCUCGAGGCGUCGCUCUCGGAAAGCUCUGAAGAUAAUGAAAGUAACACUUCUCCCCCAGACAGAGGUAGUGAAGACUCAUCACCCAUUUUAACAUCUGAUCCCACGUCGGAUUCAUCCGACACGGGUGCAAGCGGUAAAUCCAACGAUGAACCUAACUUGGUCAACAACGGUUGGGAGACUACAUCCAUGAAUAAUCAAAAUGAGAAUCUUAAUAAUACAUUUCAACAAGCAAACGAAAAGGAAGAUGAAAAACAUGAAAUGGAACAUCCCCCUGAUGAGCCGAUGAAGGUUAUCGAAAAUGAUAAAGCGGCAUCUUGCAGUAGCAAUGUUUUUUCAGAGCGAUGUGACCAAGCUCAAUCACAUACCCAAGAAAAAAAAACAAUGAUAUCUGAAAAUUCAGAUUGUGGGUACGGAACACAAAUCGAAAACCAGGAGUCAAUUUCAACAUCCAGUAAUGAAGACGAGCUGCCUGCUCAGAAACCCGUUCAUCAAAAACCCCAUAAUCCUAAACAGAGAAUCAACAACAAGGUCCGUUCUGGGGUUAAUCUUCAAGAGCGAAAAAGGAAAAAAAUCGUUAAAAGGGGCAAAGCCAACAUAAUAAACGUACAAGGAUUAUCGCAUAAAACACCGACGGACGACGAUAUAUCGAACGUCUUAAAAGAAUUUACAGUCGAUUUCUUGUUGAAGGGAUACAAUUCUUUAGUUCAGACCCUUCACAGCCAAAUUCUCACCAACAUGCAGUUAGAAAUCGACACGUCACAUUUUUUCUGGCUCGUGACAUAUUUUCUGAAGUUUGCUACACAAAUUGAACUAGAUUUGGAACACAUUUGUUCCGUGCUAUCAUUCGACAUAUUGUCUUACUUGACGGCGGAAGGUGUAAAUCUGUGUGAGCAAUUUGAGUUAGCUAUUAAGCUGGAUGGAAACGAUUUAAAACCCUGCAUGAGAAGGCUUCAUUUAGUAGUGACUGCUAUAAGAGAAUUUGUUCAAGCCAUUGAAGUGUACAAGAAGUUCUCUCACAUAUGCAAGGAUGAUCAGGAGGAGCUCAUUAAGUUGCAGAUCAAAAUGUGUGAGACUGAAGAGCUGCGAUCUCUUCUGGUGCUAUUGUUACGGCACUAUAACCCAAGAUACCAUACCAAACAAUAUUUACAGGAUCUCGUGGUGACAAAUCACAUUUUGCUGUUGUUUUUGGAUAACGUUAUGAAGUUGCCUGAUUACCACGGCUCCACCAAUAUGCUUGAUCACAUUAAACAAUUCGCUACUCCUGAGGUGAUGUACCAGUACGGACUUCUGCUGGAGGAUUACGCAGGCAACGGGGAGUUUGUGAACGAUUGCAUUUUCACUCUGAUGCACCACGUCGGAGGAGAGUUAGACAGUUUGAUAACGCUGUUCCAACCUAAGAUAUUGAAAACGUUCACUUCUAUAUGGAAAUCGGAAUUUGAAAUAUGUGACGACUGGUCGGAUUUGAUCGAGUACGUCAUAAAUACGUUCAUAAAGAAACCGCACACGUUACAAAGCAUGGCUAACUUCAGGCUGGACGCGGAAAGCUUUGAAGAUAAUAAGAUGGUUGUUAAGCCGACCGUAGUGCUGGAUCGCCAGAAUAAAACAGAGAUGAAUCCACCCGAAAUAAAGAAAAUAUCGGGAAAUAAUAACACCGGCAACUCAUCUAAAGACACAUGGACGGAAGACGAGUUAUCAUCUCUAAGCUGGAAUUACUUACAAUGCAACUCAUCGCCAGAUGUAAUCGGAGAAAUAAUUAAGUUGUUCAAAGAAGAUGGCAUCAUUAAAUCCAGAGAUUCAGUUAUAAAGGAACUAUACCAUCAAAAUAUUAUAAACAAAGAUGAUUAUGAAAGUUACGUGAAAGGUGAAAGUGAACGCAACUUUAAGGCAGUCCAGGCGAACAAAGAGUUAAGAGAAGACGAAAUCGAGAAGCUUUGUGAACAGCUUGCGCAAGACGGUAAAUCCAAGUUCUUGGAUUGGGUGCAGAAAGUGUUGCUGGACACGUGCUACGCUAAGAUAUAUUUGGAGAAGAAAAAGAACAGUGACUCUACACUGGACAACACGGAUUGCAAAUUGUUGAAUUUUGAACUGUUCAAAAAGAAGUCAAAUGAUUAUCCGGCUAUGUCGCCGGUGUCGUACCAUUCCCUGCUUUUCAACCAAUCAGUUCCGUUGGUACCUUGGAACUGUAGCCAGGCUAACAUAUGCAAAGAUUUAAAAUUCCUGCAACUAUUGCAUAAACUGGGAUUCCAUAUGCCUGUAGAUUCGGGCAAAGUAUUUAUUCGCAUUCCACAUUUCUGGGCGGCGGAGUUCCUAUAUGACGUAGCAUCCAAAAUAGCUUCUAUAGACAAAUCUAAAUUAAAGUUUUCUAUAAGUGAAUUUUCUGAAGGCGGUACUACUUUUAUAGCUAACACAAAACCAGAAAGUAAUUUGAUGCUAUCAGAUGAUUUUAGCAAAGACGUCUCUAUGAUGGAAACAUCGGAUAAUCCAUAUCAAAUCCAAAAACAAACGCAUCUCGCGACGAUGGUUAACUUUACGCCCAUGCCCGGAACCUCUUUCCACUCAGACAGUGGUGAAGUGGACAAGCACAACUGGUUAGAGGUGGUACAGAAAUCGCAAGAAUACAAAAUCAGUUUAACAAUGGCAACUACGAUUGUUAAAUCGGGCAGAUCCGCUUGACGCCAGGGUUGUUGGUACACGGGGACGUCGCAGCGAUCUUCCCAAAACGUUUCUCCUCCGCUCGACCGAGGAGGACGAGGAGGAGGGUUCGGACGUGGUGAUGCAGCUUCCGGUGCAGGAGCCAGCGCUGGUGCCGCUGGUGGCGCCGCCCGCGGCCGCCACGCCGCUGCUCAUGCCCGUCAAACAAGAUAUGCCCAU